rnacentral:tRNA from 1 species
GAGAGUUUUUUAAAUCAUAUAAAUACAGAUGAAUACAAUAAUCCUGUGCCUUACAAGCAGAGGGUCGGCGGUUCGAACCCGUCAACUCCCA